CUUCUUCGCUCUCCUCUUCCUUAUCCUGCGCUGCAGUGGAUUGCUGGACUAUUUGUUGGACAGGGGCAUCUUCCACUACAGAACAGCAGAUGUCUGUUCUGGAUUUCCUUAAACUUCUUCUUCCAUUUACUCUUCUGAGGGAGGGAGAAACAGAGAGAGGGAGAGAGAGAGAGAUACUGGCAGUGGAUGGAGAGAGCUCAUCUUCAUCUUGUAAGGAGCCCGGGGUGGAAGCAGUCACCUCUCUGGUCUGGAGCUCCUGCAGUUUCUGUUAGAGGGGUUUGGACCUUGUCAACAACCAGCUAUAUCCUGACUCAAGUCAGAAGCUGUUGUUUUGAGACAAACAAAAAUUCUACUUACAGGUUCUACCAAUAAUGGUAACUUACUUACAACAAAUCUUAUUAGAUUGAAAAAUGGAGGACAAUGUCUGAAACAAGUAAGGCAAACAACUACUUUGUGAGGCCUUGGGAUCAGGCUUUUCAGUGGCGUGUGUCUUUUACACUAUGGCACCAUCUACUGGCUGCACUAGUUCACUUCUCAUCAUUCACUGACUUUACUUCUCCUGGCAGGCGGUUCCUCACAUGAACUUUCACGAUAGCAGCAUCAAGAGCAGCAUCAAGAGAACGUCCAUGAGAGCAGCACUCACAGUCUCGAUGGACGAGCUCCUACUGGCCAUGUCUCUGAACUCCUGCAAGAAGAGCUGCCUCAGGUCCCUCAUUUCCUCCUGAAACUUGUUCCUUUCCUCCUCCUUCCAGCUCUCCAGCUUCUCUCGCUCCAACGCCUCCUUCCUCCGCUGCUCCUCCAGGUCCUGGGAAGAGGAGCACCAG